rnacentral:rRNA from 1 species
AGCAGUCGCCGCGGUAAUACGUAGGGUGCAAGCGUUAAUCGGAAUUACUGGGCGUAAAGCGCACGCAGGCGGUCUGACAAGUCAGAUGUGAAAACUGGAGGCUCAACCUCCAGCCUGCAGUGGGUACGGGCAGACUAGAGUGCGGUAGGGGAGAUUGGAAUUCCUGGUGUAGCGGUGGAAUGCGCAGAUAUCAGGAGGAACACCGAUGGCGAAGGCAGAUCUCUGGGCCGUAACUGACGCUGAGGAGCGAAAGCGUGGGGAGCGAACAGGAUUAGAUACCCCUGUAGUCCCUGUCUCUUAUAU